rnacentral:tRNA from 1 species
GCAUGGGUAGCUCAAAUUUUAGAGCGUCGGCCUUGUAAGCCGGACGUUGGAGGUUAAAAUCCUCCCCCCUGCU